CUCUGAUCUCUGACAGCUGAUCUCUCGGUGGCGGGCGGCUGUCAACGCUGCGGAGGCGGAGGGGGCGGGGCGCUCCCGGGACCGCCCCGAUUCCGCCCCCUCUCCCUGCCCCCGCCCUGCCCCGGGCGCACGGGCUGCGGGGGUGGGGACUCUCCCUGAGGUCACCAGGGGCUCCGCCUUGAGGUCACAGCCGCGGGAGGCCGUGCUCGUGCUUUGGAGCUCCAUGUGAUGUGGUCGGUGGAAGACGUCUCCUUUGUCAGAAUCCGCGCUCAGAUUCCCGGAAUAGCUGCCAGACCGACCCCAGCGUUUAGCCCGGGAAGGGGAGGUUGGAGGGCAAUGGCGUGAUCUCAGCUCACCGCAACCUCUGCCUCCUGGGUUGAAGCGAUUCUCCUGCCUCAGCCUUCCGAGUAGCUGGGAUUACAGGCGUGAGCCACUACGCCUGGCUAAUUUCAACCAUUUGAUGAGCCAGCUACUUCUUUUGUGGUUCCCUGUGCAUAUGAAUAAACCCUUUUCUCCUGUUAAUUUGUCUUUUGCCAGUUUAAUUUACAGGCCUCAGCCACUGAACUUAAGAGGAUAGAGGAAAAGGCUUUUCCUUCCUUAUAGCUACUUCUUUUUCGUAACUGUAGGCUUGGAUCUGUAAUCUUCAAGGAUUCAAAUUUUGG
rnacentral:lncRNA from 1 species